UACAGAGGGGGCAAGCGUUGUUCGGAAUUACUGGGCGUAAAGCGUGCGCAGGCGGUUGUGCAAGACAGGUGUGAAAUCCCCGGGCUUAACCUGGGAACUGCAUUUGUGACUGCACGGCUGGAGUACGGCAGAGGGGGAUGGAAUUCCGCGUGUAGCAGUGAAAUGCGUAGAUAUGCGGAGGAACACCGAUGGCGAAGGCAGUCCCCUGGGCCUGUACUGACGCUCAUGCACGAAAGCGUGGGGAGCAAACAGG
rnacentral:rRNA from 1 species